GAUGAACGCUGGCGGCGUGCCUAAUACAUGCAAGUCGAGCGAACGGACGAGAAGCUUGCUUCUCUGAUGUUAGCGGCGGACGGGUGAGUAACACGUGGAUAACCUACCUAUAAGACUGGGAUAACUUCGGGAAACCGGAGCUAAUACCGGAUGAUAUUUUGAACCGCAUGGUUCAAAAGUGAAAGACGGUCUUGCUGUCACUUAUAGAUGGAUCCGCGCUGCAUUAGCUAGAUGGUAAGGUAACGGCUUACCAAGGCAACGAUGCAUAGCCGACCUGAGAGGGUGAUCGGCCACACUGGAACUGAGACACGGUCCAGACUCCUACGGGAGGCAGCAGUAGGGAAUCUUCCGCAAUGGGCGAAAGCCUGACGGAGCAACGCCGCGUGAGUGAUGAAGGUCUUCGGAUCGUAAAACUCUGUUAUUAGGGAAGAACAUAUGUAUAAGUAACUGUGCACAUCUUGACGGUACCUAAUCAGAAAGCCACGGCUAACUACGUG
rnacentral:rRNA from 1 species